rnacentral:rRNA from 1 species
UAAUACGAAGGGUGCAAGCGUUACUCGGAAUUACUGGGCGUAAAGCGUGCGUAGGUGGUGGUUUAAGUCCGUUGUGAAAGCCCUGGGCUCAACCUGGGAAUUGCAGUGGAUACUGGGUCACUAGAAUGUGGUAGAGGGUAGCGGAAUUCCUGGUGUAGCAGUGAAAUGCGUAGAGAUCAGGAGGAACAUCCGUGGCGAAGGCGGCUACCUGGACCAACAUUGACACUGAGGCACGAAAGCGUGGGGAGCAAACAGGAUUAGAUACCCUGGUAGUCCACGCCCUAAACGAUGCGAACUGGAUGUUGGGUGCAAUUUGGCACGCAGUAUCGAAGCUAACGCGUUAAGUUCGCCGCCUGGGGAGUACGGUCGCAAGACUG